GUAUCUCCAUGUAAUAACUAACGAAAAGCGAAAGACGAAAAGGAUAGAGACUCUUGUAGCCUUGUAGGAAAAGAAAUACGCCAUUUAAUAAGAUAAUAAUAUAAGGGCCUACGGGAUAGGUCCAGUUGGGAAAAUACAGUCUAUGGGUUUUUCCCUGAACUCGUAAAGCUUUGCGAAAUCGUAAACUUGAAACGGCAAUGAAUAUCCAUGAAAUCUGGUUGGAGACGGCAAUGACGUUUAGUAAAAAGCCCCAUGUCUUUCCAGCUUGUGAAGACAUGAGACACAAAAUUGCAGUUGCACUGGUAGCAAGCACUGACAGCCAAGGAAUUCCAUGCUUGUUACAUUUGGAAAACACUUUAGGCGCAUGACCAGAUUUGGCCAAGGAAUACAGCAGACGAGUUCCAGCGUAUAAAGAGUGGUUUCCUGCUGAUAAUGCUGAUGACAAUAUAACCAAAUUCAUUAUACUCGCCGCACCGGGAACGCCGAAUUUUUUGAAAACAAAAGUGAACGGGGACAUGCGUACAGAGUCGCCGUCGAGACCGGGAGUAUUAUAAGGCAGAUUAAUACCAACAACCAAGACACUAAUUAUAUAGAGCAACAAAACACGAUGUGCUGUAAAGCGAAUUGCUUUGGGUAAUGUGGUAAUUGGAGACUUGGCUUCACCAGCGGUGAGAGCGAUUGACUCAGUGCCAGCAUAGGCAAAAGCAGCAUUGACGAAACUACUUAUGACACCAAUAAUACCAUUAUUGAAGGCUCCUGGAUCUUUCCAAUAGCGAAAUCCAAUGAAUUUUUUCUCAUUGUUAACUCCGAGGUUGCAUAAAAUGCCAUUAACAAUAAAUGCAGCCACCGUGAAUACCUUGAUGCUGGAAAGCCAGUACUCGAUCUCGCCAAAACCGCCAACGGGAAGCAUAUUAAGAAUGAUAUUUGCAGACAACGAAGUGAUCGGCGUAAUGAUUCGGACGGCCUCUUUCCAAGGAGGCAAGGAGAGAGAUGCACUUACAGGAUCACCCUCAGUAGGUAUUAACCAAAAAUCAACUACCAAUCGAGUUGCUAAAACAUGGCUUGCUAAAGCAAUCGUAUCAUUCAGCCAGUAAUUCCAAGUAAGGGAAAAGCUCAGGGCCUCAUCUACAUAUCGGCCUACAUAUGUACAAAAAGAGCCAGCCACUGGCAUAUAGACGGACAUUUCGCCAAGCGCUAGCAUGGUACAAUAAACGCUUACACCAAGUACAGAGAAUGAAAUCAGUAGGGAAGCAGGACCCGAUUCCGCCAAACUAGAGCCAAUUCCUAAAAAAAGACCAGUUCCAAUAAUGCCCCCAAAUGCUAACAUUUGAAUCUGGCUGGCCGAUAAAGAGCGAUGAAGAGAUUCUCCUUCUGGAAGGAGACUUACACUUGCAUCCAUUAUGAAAUACGUAUAGACAAAAGAAAACUAUCCAAAGCGAUUGCAAAAAGAGGGAUAUGGAAGUUGGGCCAAAAAAAUAUUGACGAUUAAUAUAUAAUAAGCAAAGUAAAUGGUUCACACUAAGAAUUCAAAGCCAAAAGAUGGUUUUAUUAAGCUUAGCUAAGCCUGCUGAUGACGUGCUCAAACUCUGGAAAUAAGUAGAGAAGAGUAGGAGUAGUUGAAUUCAAAAUACCACAGAUUCUUUUUCAUCAUACACUCUUUAUUUUAAACAAUUCUGCGAACAAAGGUGCUGGAAACCAGUGUAGUAAGCGACACUUCGCCAAUCUUUAUCUUAGCGUCUUGUUUGUUCUAGCUGUGAAUAAAUUAAAUUCGCGUCGCGUCCUUUAACGUUACGUUGUGAUAUUUAGCGUACAUCGUGCUUACAGUGUUAACCAAAUAUAAGCGAGUUCACAAAAACAUUGAAGCAGAUGGAAAGUGUCAGCUAAGAAAAAAAAUAGGCUAGUCGUCUUUUCAGAUAUAUUGAAGAAAUUUGCUGGAUGUUGAUGAUUGAAUAGGCUUAUAAUAAAUUAGAAAUUUAGUCU